rnacentral:snoRNA from 1 species
ACGACCUUACUUGAACAGGAUCUGUUCUAUAGGCUCGUACCUCUGUAUCCUUGAUUUCUAAGGAGACAGGCCCUUAACCCUGGUUGAUGAACCAUGACCGUGCGGCUAGAGCGUGAUUAACGGCCAAGAUCAAUCCUUAGAUCGGUCCGGUGCUGUAGAGGAUCGUUACUCGGCUCGGUCUUAUCCUUGCCGGUGUGGUCGCACGGCGGUCUGACAGGCU